GAUGAACGCUGGCGGCGUGCCUAAUACAUGCAAGUCGAGCGAACAGACGAGGAGCUUGCUCCUCUGACGUUAGCGGCGGACGGGUGAGUAACACGUGGAUAACCUACCUAUAAGACUGGGAUAACUUCGGGAAACCGGAGCUAAUACCGGAUAAUCUAUUGAACCGCAUGGUUCAAUAGUGAAAGACGGUUUUGCUGUCACUUAUAGAUGGAUCCGCGCCGCAUUAGCUAGUUGGUAAGGUAACGGCUUACCAAGGCAACGAUGCGUAGCCGACCUGAGAGAGUGAUCGGCCACACUGGAACUGAGACACGGUCCAGACGCCUACGGGAGGCAGCAGUAGGGAAUCUUCCGCAAUGGGCGAAAGCCUGACGGAGCAACGCCGCGUGAGUGAUGAAGGUCUUCGGAUCGUAAAACUCUGUUAUUAGGGAAGAACAAAUGUGUAAGUAACUAUGCACGUCUUGACGGUACCUAAUCAGAAAGCCACGGCUAACUACGUG
rnacentral:rRNA from 1 species